GGGCCGCUGGAGCGGCCGCGGGGACCGGAGGAGGACGAGGAGGAAGCGGCGGCGGCGCCCGGGAGUCGUUGAACCCCUUCCGCGCCAGGGGCGGCCGGGAACCAUUCUCCCCUCCCCACGCCCGGAGGCAAGACUUUGCAGCAGGACGGGGCAGGGAGCCCGCGGGAGUGACCCCCACGGGAGUGAACGCCCUCUCUCCCCGCAAGGAUUGCCAGCUAGCCCCGGGAGCCAGGGGCCUGCAACCCGAUCUUCAAAGCCAAGGGACCUUGAUUCGCCUGGGGCUCGGGGUUUGGUCUUCCCAGGACCGUGCUGCGCCAGGGCUCUGAGCCAUAAAGGGAAUGGGGGGAGGGGUGGGGAGAUCCCAGCUCCGAACCCUUUUUCGCCGCUAGCUCUUGUGUAUCCUGUGUGCAGGAGUGACUCGGGCUUUCCCCCAAGACUCAGGGGAAGGAGGGAGCUGUAGGGGCUCUUCUUUAAUAAGCUGAAGCUCUCGCAAGGCGGAGGGCACCAAAAGUAGUGGAGCUCAGUGCCCCCACGAAGAGGCUUCCUGUUGCGGCCCUAAGUAUCUGGAUAUGGGCCAGGGAAGAAGGAAGGGAAAGAGCAAUGCCUCUGUGCUUCAAUCCUUGGCCUUCUCCUCACAGAGUUCUUUUAGGAAGAGCAAGCUUUUGUAAGUAGAGUGGCUCACAAGUGUUUUUAUAUUAUUUUCUGGUCCUCAAGAUGUCUUGUUCCGUAAUCACCGUAAUCACCCUUGCCUUCCCUCUUUGCUGAACCUGUGACAAUGUAGUUCUGCAAUUAGGGCCAAGUCUGUUGUGAAACCAGAGCUUUGAGCACGUUUUCUGGUUUUGAGUUGUAUUUGAACCAGAAAGGCCAAAAAGUGGGCUUCAAACUCAGGAUUGUGUUUUGAUAGCCAGUUCACAGACCAGCUGUGGGAAGGUUACAUUGGCUUGUCUUUACGUCUCUUGAUAAACCCUACUUAUUUGCAGCCUGUACUUAUUGAGAUGAAAAACCCCAAGGGAAACGACAUCUGUAUAGUUCUGGGACAGCAAGAAUUCUACAUCCUCAAUUUGGAUUCCAUUUCCUUCUGCCACUUGCUUUUAGGCAAUUGAAUGUGGGUAGUGACAAGAUAUCAAACCCUUUAGUGUUUCCUUUUUGGGAAAUGAAGCACUUUUUAAAAAAACAAAAACAAAAACUCACUCCACCUGAGUCCUGAAACAGUUGGUCUCUUCAGUUUUUUGGCCUCCACUCUAGUUAGCUCUGAUCCAAGUUUACAGGACAACAAGCCUUGCUUUAAGCCAUGUUCUGUUGUGGGCAAGGUAACAGCAGCUGAGCUGUCCUAGCCUAGGAGCAGGCUGGUCGCAAGCCAAGCCAAGGUGUCUUGGUUGGAGGAGAUUUCUGAGCAGCUCACGUGACUUUGGUCAUUAGGAAGUCUUUGAGGCCUUUUUAAAUUUUUGGUGGGGCUCUGGGGCUGGAGAAGAAACAAAAUGACACUUUAUAACUUCAAUAAUAACCUGUAAUUUAUAUUUAUUGUGAAUUUUUAGUCCUAUAUUUUAAUAAUUUGUAAAUUGAUCUCUUCUUCCAAGAAUCCUUUGAACUUGCAGGAGAACAUCUGGGAAUCCAGUCCCCUGUCCCCAUCCCUGCAUUCUGGACUGUUUAAUCCACUUUGGGAUGGAUCAAAGAGUCUAGCGAGACCACUCGUAGGUCCAGCUGCUGGCCUCCUGAUUCUAAAGCCUUCACUGGAAUUGGGACAUUAGCUCCAGCUCUAGCUGUGAACAUGACCAGAGACAUUAUUUAUAAUUCAGCCAUUUAAGAUAUACCUGUACUCAAAAAGUCCUGUAUAUUUUUUAAAAGUUUUAUUUUUCAGGUGAACAAAAAUACAUUCUAAGAACUCUACAUAA